UAGAUUGUGUUGCAGAAAUACCAUACCAUCAAUGGUCAUAAUGCAGAAGUAAGAAAGGCUUUGUCUAGACAAGAAAUGCAGGAAGUUCAAAGUUCUAGAAGUGGAAGAGGAACUCUUCCACUUGGUUUUGGAGACUCUUGAGGUGGUGGUGGAAAUUUGGGACCAGGACCAGGAAGUAACUUUAGAGGAGGAUCUGAUGGCUAUGGAAGUGGUAGUGGAUUUGGGGAUGGCCAUAAUGGGUAUGGAGGACCUGGAGGAAAUUACAGAAGUGGAAAUUACAAUGAUUUUGGAAAUUAUAACCAGCAACCAUCUAACUAUGGUCCAAUGAAGAGUGGAAAUUUUGGUGGUAGCAGGAACAUGGGGGGACCAUAUGGUGGAGG